GAUUUCCCUAGUAACGGCGAGCGAACCGGAAAGAGCCCAGCUUGAAAAUCGCGGCCCCUCCGGGGCCGCGAAUUGUAGUCUGGAGAAGCGUCCUCUGCGGUGGACCGGGCCCAAGUUCCCUGGAACGGGACGUCAGAGAGGGUGAGAACCCCGUCGAGCCCGGACCCCCCCGCUCCACGAGGCGCUGUCGACGAGUCGGGCUGUUUGGGAAUGCAGCCCUAAGUGGGUGGUAAAUUCCAUCUAAGGCUAAAUAUUGGCAAGAGACCGAUAGCGAACAAGUACCGCGAGGGAAAGAUGAAAAGGACUUUGAAAAGAGAGUUAAAAAGUGCUUGAAAUUGCUGGGAGGGAAGCGAAUGGAAGCUGCGGGUGUGCCUCGGCUGGAUGUGGAACGGCCUUAAACAAGCCGGUCCGCCGUCACCAGCGCGGGGCACUGGUCAGCGUGGGCCACUCCGGCGGGACAAGAGCGGGAUGUAGUUUCCCGUGGUCAUGCCGUUGGGGUGGCCGAGGAACGAAGCGCGCGCCCCCCCCUCCAAGGGGGGGCGUGAGGUUUACCUCAACUGCGCGCUCGAGACGCUGGCGUAUUGAGCUCUUCAUCCGACCCGUCUUGAAACACGGACCAAGGAGUCUAACAUGUAUGCGAGCCGGUGGGCGGCAAACCCAUUGAGGCGCAAGUAACCUGACAGGUGGGAUCCCCUCUUAUUCAUAUAGAAAAGGGAGCACCAUCGACCGACCGUGAUCUUCUGUGAAAGGUUCGAGUGUGAGCAUACCUGUUGGGACCCGAAAGAUGGUGAACUAUGCCUGAGCAGGGCGAAGCCAGAGGAAACUCUGGUGGAGGCUCGUAGCGAUACUGACGUGCAAAUCGUUCGUCAGACUUGGGUAUAGGGGCGAAAGACUAAUCGAACCAUCUAGUAGCUGGUUCCCUCCGAAGUUUCCCUCAGGAUAGCUGGAGCUCGUGUAAAAGUUUUAUCAGGUAAAGCGAAUGAUUAGAGGCAUCGGGGGUGUAACACCCUCGACCUAUUCUCAAACUUUAAAUAGGUAAGCCGCCGGGGUUGCUUGGUUGAACCCCGGCACAGAAU
rnacentral:rRNA from 1 species